GAGUGCAAAAUUUGAGUGUUGCAACUUGGAAGUGAGAGUAAUGGUUGUCUCUGCUGUUAUGUGUUCUUUGACAAAGGGAUGCUGUAUUGUUGCUAUCACUGCCUCAAGAAAAAGUGCAAAAUGAUUUGUGAAAUUUACAUUUCUUCCACCUAAACUUUAGUCAAUUGGUAACUUUAGCUCCUAUGUUUUCUGCAACUCAUUUUCUGUAAACUGAAACAGUGGAAUGUUAGGAAUCAGAGCUGAAAAUUUUAGCCAAAUACACGAGCUAGAAUCUUUUCUUGGGAAGAUGUGAUGCAUAUACAUGUUUAAACCGUUGCCUUGAUGUUUUAGCCACACAAAAAAAAUGCUAGAAUGUUUCAGCAAACGAAGUUAAAUCCAUUCUUCUGUAAUGUAUGGUAUCGGUAUGAUGAAAAAAGAGAAUUAAAUCCAUUCUAUGGUAAUGUUCAUUUCAUUAUCCAUGAAAUAAAGGAAAAGUUCAUCUUUGAUUGUCACCCUCUGCUGUUAUGUGUUCUUUGACAAAGGGAUGCUGUAUUGUUGCUAUCACUGCCUCAAGAAAAAGUGCAAAAUGAUUUGUGAAAUUUACAUUUCUUCCACCUAAACUUUAGUCAAUUGGUAACUUUAGCUCCUAUGUUUUCUGCAACUCAUUUUCUGUAAACUGAAACAGUGGAAUGUUAGGAAUCAGAGCUGAAAAUUUUAGCCAAAUACACGAGCUAGAAUCUUUUCUUGGGAAGAUGUGAUGCAUA
rnacentral:lncRNA from 1 species